UGGGGAAUAUUGGACAAUGGGCGCAAGCCUGAUCCAGCCAUGCCGCGUGUGUGAUGACGGCCUUAGGGUUGUAAAGCACUUUCGCCGAUGAAGAUAAUGACUGUAGUCGGAGAAGAAGCCCCGGCUAACUUCGUGCCAGCAGCCGCGGUAAUACGAAGGGGGCUAGCGUUGUUCGGAAUUACUGGGCGUAAAGCGUACGUAGGCGGAUUGUUAAGUGAGGGGUGAAAUCCCGAGGCUCAACCUCGGAACUGCCUUUCAUACUGGCAAUCUUGAGUCCGGGAGAGGUGAGUGGAACUCCUAGUGUAGAGGUGAAAUUCGUAGAUAUUAGGAAGAACACCAGUGGCGAAGGCGGCUCACUGGCCCGGAACUGACGCUGAGGUACGAAAGCGUGGGGAGCAAACA
rnacentral:rRNA from 1 species